GAUGAGUUAAACAAACUUGCUGCUGUCGUUCAGAGAGGAUGGAAAUCUCAUAAAUUUAGAUUGGCCGACAAAAAAGCUAAGGAAUUAGAUAAAGCGUGGAAGUCACAAAUGACCCCUGAG